AGAACGGUGAAGAUCCCGGCGAUGGAAGAAAGGCGAAACUGCUCCGCGUGGGCUGCCCGGAGUGGCAUCGCGCCUUGUUCGAGUCCGAAGAAGUUCCCGCUUCUCUAAGCCGGCUGAAGGGAUGCGAGUCUCCUCCUCUUGUCCCAACGGGACUGCGUCCUGACACCGAGUGGACUCCGCCCCAAGAGUGCGAGCGUCCUGAGCGUUCAGGGCAUCCUGAGCGGCGGAAGGCAUCCGGCCACACCCCGCUCUUUACCCGCCAACGCCAGCCCAGGUGGCCAGCCUCAGAAUGGACUGUGAGCCUGUGUGUUAUGCAUCUCUGGUUGUAGAGACAAAAGGACAAAGAUGGAACCCACCAAGGAUGCUCCCGGAUGAAUGAAUUGUUGUUCUCUGGCUUACACAAAGUCAAGCGAAUGAUCUUCCCAUGUUAUGUAAUAUAGCAACGGCCUGCUUACCUUACUCCUUUAAUCUACGUUAUUCUGGAAAGUAACACUUGAAACAAAAAGUAGAUACAUUCUACUGGGAAUGUGACCCUCAGAGAAGGAAAGAAAGACCGAGGGGUUGAACCUGAACACGUGAAAGAGAAUCCAAGGGAACCUGCUUGGCACUGCCACAUCAGAGAAGUCUCGGGUAAGGAGACUGGAUGCUUGGAAUCAUGGAUACUCAGAGCACUGUUAACAAAGAGCAGAGUCCAGUCUUCCAGAGUCAUGACCUGAAUCCAAAGUUGAAAAGAUCUGAGCAGUGUAUAAACAGCCUGUCAUAACCUGCAUAAUGCAUUUUUAGUCCUGAAUAAAUCUAUUUACACUUCUUUCU
rnacentral:lncRNA from 1 species